CAGGCAGCCCUUAAAGCCAGCUCUUUAAACCAAAACGUAUGCGCGGCUGGCCUCUGCUCGGCAUCGGCGCUGAGCUCGGAGCCUCUCCCCCUCGCUCCCCACCAGUGACUGGGACCCAAGAUAAUGAGGAAAUUCCGGCUCGAUGAUGUUCCGGUCGCACAUUGCUUGAUGACAAGAUAUUUUCUGAGAAAUGCCCCACUUGGCAAUUUCAUCGUAUGAACAUCACUGUGUGUACUUCAC
rnacentral:lncRNA from 1 species